GUGCUUGCACUAAAUGAAACUAGAUACAAGGCGAGCGGCGGACGGGUGAGUAACACGUGGGUAACCUGCCCAAGAGACUGGGAUAACACCUGGAAACAGAUGCUAAUACCGGAUAACAACACUAGACGCAUGUCUAGAGUUUGAAAGAUGGUUCUGCUAUCACUCUUGGAUGGACCUGCGGUGCAUUAGCUAGUUGGUAAGGUAACGGCUUACCAAGGCAAUGAUGCAUAGCCGAGUUGAGAGACUGAUCGGCCACAUUGGGACUGAGACACGGCCCAAACUCCUACGGGAGGCAGCAGUAGGGAAUCUUCCACAAUGGACGAAAGUCUGAUGGAGCAACGCCGCGUGAGUGAAGAAGGGUUUCGGCUCGUAAAGCUCUGUUGGUAGUGAAGAAAGAUAGAGGUAGUAACUGGCCUUUAUUUGACGGUAAUUACUUAGAAAGUCACGGCUAACUACGUGCCAGCAGCCGCGGUAAUACGAAGGUGGCAAGCGUUGUCCGGAUUUAUUGGGCUUAAAGUGAGUGCAGGCGGUU
rnacentral:rRNA from 1 species